CCUACGGGUCGCAGCAGUGAGGAAUAUUGGUCAAUGGACGCAAGUCUGAACCAGCCAUGCCGCGUGCAGGAAGACGGCUCUAUGAGUUGUAAACUGCUUUUGUACGAGGGUAAACGCAGAUACGCGUCUCUGUCUGAAAGUAUCGUACGAAUAAGGAUCGGCUAACUCCGUGCCAGCAGCCGCGGUAAUACGGAGGAUUCAAGCGUUAUCCGGAUUUAUUGGGUUUAAAGGGUGCGUAGGCGGUCGGAUAAGUUAGAGGUGAAAUCCCGAGGCUCAACUUCGGAAUUGCCUGUGAUACUGUUAGGCUAGAGAGUAGUUGAGGUAGGCGGAAUGUAUGGGGUAGCGGUGAAAUGCUUAGAGAUCAUACAGAACACCGAUUGCGAAGGCAGCUUACCAAGCUACUUCUGACGUUGAGGCACGAAAGCGUGGGGAGCAAACAGGAUUAGAUACCCGUGUAGUC
rnacentral:rRNA from 1 species